rnacentral:rRNA from 1 species
UACGGAGGGGGCUAGCGUUGUUCGGAAUUAUUGGGCGUAAAGCGCGUGUAGGCGGUUCGGUAAGUCUGCUGUGAAAGUCGGGGGCUCAACCCUCGAAUGCCGGUGGAUACUGUCGGACUAGAGUGCGGAAGAGGCGAGUGGAAUUCCUGGUGUAGCGGUGAAAUGCGCAGAUAUCAGGAGGAACACCAAUUGCGAAGGCAGCUCGCUGGGACGUUACUGACGCUGAGACGCGAAAGCGUGGGGAGCAAACAGG